UACGUAGGGUGCGAGCGUUGCCCGGAAUUAUUGGGCGUAAAGAGCUCGUAGGCGGUUUGUUGCGUCUAUCGUGAAAACCUGCAGCUUAACUGUGGGCUUGCGGUGGAUACGGGCAGACUUGAGUUCGGUAGGGGAGACUGGAAUUCCUGGUGUAGCGGUGAAAUGCGCAGAUAUCAGGAGGAACACCGGUGGCGAAGGCGGGUCUCUGGGCCGAUACUGACGCUGAGGAGCGAAAGCGUGGGGAGCGAACAGG
rnacentral:rRNA from 1 species